rnacentral:rRNA from 1 species
AUUGAACGCUGGCGGCAGGCCUAACACAUGCAAGUCGAACGGAGUGGCGAACGGGUGAGUAAUGUAUCGGAACGUGCCCAGUAGCGGGGGAUAACUACGCGAAAGCGUAGCUAAUACCGCAUACUAUCGGAGCGGCCGAUAUCGGAUUAGCUAGUUGGUGGGGUAACGGCUCACCAAGGCGACGAUCCGUAGCUGGGUUGAGAGGACGGCCAGGCACACUGGGACUGGGACACGGCGCAGACUCCUACGGGAAGCAGCAGUAGGGAAUCUUCGGCAAUGGAGGGAAGUCUGACCGAACCACGCCGCGUGGUUGAAGAAGGUUUUCGGGUCGUAAAGCUCUGUUGUUAGAGAAGCGGUAACUAACCAGAAAGGGACGGCUAACUACGUGCCAGCAGCCGCGGUAAUAC